CACCAUCCAUCCAUCCGUCCCACCAUCCAUCCAUCCAUCCCACCAUCCAUCCAUCCGUCCCACCAUCCCACCCACCAUCCAUCCAUUCAGAGAGGAAAUAUUCACGCUGUGGAAAUUAGAAAAGCUCCAUCGUGCUUCCUGGAGCAGUCACCGUGUUACCAUGGCGAUUAAUAGCAUUUCCAGUCAGUAUGUGGGAUCGUGGCUAAUUUCGCUUGGCAACAACAUGUGAAUUGUUUCUAGGAAGCAGAAAUUGGAGCAUCCGAAACGUGGAACGCCACAAAUUAAGGUGCCUUUGUUUGUUUUUCCCCACUUCAUGUGAAGACGCUUGUAGGAAGGUUUGAUGUUGGUGAGUUUCAUGCAUCAUUCUGGCUGCACGUGUGUUUAACGUGACCAUGUUCCUAUAGAAACGACUUUUCUCAGAAUACUCAAGCCACAUGCAAACUGAGCGUCCUUCAUCUGGCACCGAGCAGGUCAGCCCUCAGCGAAGCACAGGUAAUACAAACCCUAAUUAUAUAAAUAAUUAUGCAUGUUGACACACACUUUCAUUCCCCAAGAAAAGUUGCCCUUGGCAGCGUACUUCACCCCCCACCUCCAUCAGUCUGUUAGAUAACCCUUCCAGGUGCGAGUGUCGGUGCCAGAACCAGAAUAUGAUGUUGGCUGAUGGUGUGAAAGGAAAAAUAAAGAUUAAAUUCUCCAAUAAAUCUUUCGAGCAUGAAUAGAGGUCGAUGGAAAAGGUGAAAGCAGAAGAAAACAACACCGUCGGCGCCAGAGAAUCUGUCUUUAAUGGGAAGCUGAUGUUCUGUUGAUAUUGGACGUGUGCAGACAACAGCACCGUGGAUUAAGAGCAGUGAACUGUCAUCUGAUGAUGUUGUGGAGCUGCUUAAUGAAUCCGUGACCCACUUUACCUUCAUCUCCACAGUUUUCACAGCUCAUCGACACUGGCAACUCAUGUCUACCUAAAUGGUUAAAUCAUCAGCAUCUUCUCCGCCGUGUGGUUUUCGGCGCUCGCCGAUGUAAAUGACAUGUAAAUGAAGAUGUACGCAGUGAAGAGCACGUGGGCGUCUUCCUGAGUGCAGAUGUGCGUGGUGUAUGUCCCAGGGACCUGCUGCGCGGCGCCGGCCCACUGAUGCAGACGGUUUGGGCCCGUGGAGGCCUGCUGGGAGGCAUUGAUUCACUUCCAGCCGCAUGUUCUGCUCCACCAACUGGACAAUGAGCGACAACAAUGCAGUUGUUCGGGGGCUUGUACUGUGCCUACAGACAUGUUCUCUGUGAUCUUUAACAAUGGAUUCAGAACAUCAGCAUCCUGUUAUGCUGAUAAAAAAAAACAAGAAAAACCUACAGGAUGUGCAGGCAGUCAUGGUGCCCAGGGGAUGAAUCCUACUGUAACAUCUACUAUCUACCGGACUGUAGCAAGUUAUCAAGGAUGACGCCUGCUGACUGAUCCCCGAUAAGUCCAUAUUUUGGGUUUUUAGUGGAAUGUCUUCACAACCAUCGGAUUCUUUAUGUUCACAGGUUUUGAACUGCAAUAACGGGCAUCAAGCCCAGAUUCAGAGCCGGAGUCACAUCCUUAUUUUCCAUUUUGCGGAAAUCUGGCGUCCAAGGCGAGUGGAACAAUACGCGCUCAUAAUGUACAAAUUACAGAGGGAUAAAUGAGAUGCGUUCAUUGUUCAGUCGGGAGGAGCAGGCGCUGCGGCGAGUGCCAGCAUUCACUGGGAAACCCCAGGACACGUUAAACAAACAGUACGACACACAUUUGGGCAAAGAGUCCAGCUCAUCUGAACGUAUUUGGACUGUGGGGCAGGAUCACCCGCUGGAAGCUGGAGGUGACCGUGAGAACCAGCGUGCCUCCUGUGAGACCCGCUCACAGAGGAGAUGGAGACGGAGGAGUGGGAACAGCUGGGACAACCUGGAGGGAACCGUCCUUAAUUUACACCACAAAGGAUAAUCACACGCUGCAUCUCCAGAAGACAUGUUUCACAUAGACUUGAGCAGAGUUUCCAUUGUCUUGAUUCUACCUAUCGCUCUAUCCGUCUUCGUCCGGUCGUUGAAUUACUUGAUUUUGUGGUGACGUGGUCGUCUGAACUUCCUGCGCAGGUGCAUCGCAAUAAAAGCUCCAUCAGACAAGAACAUUCAUAUUUUGCAAAAACCCAAUUGACUUGCAGUUUAUAUAUUUAUUCAACAUUCAGCAUUCAAGUGUUUUUGAAUUAAUUAUCUCUCUGCAUCCAUCUCUCUAUCUAGUAAUGGACAGACGCCAGAUGAAUUCGUCUUCCUCCUCCUCCUCGACUUGCUCUUCACAAAAGCAUGACAGGCCCCAUCUGCAUUACCGAAUUACCCCGUGGGCCUCGAUUAAGAAGAAACAGCUUUUAUGUCUGCUCGGCCUGGCUGGCAUGACAACUGCAGAACACAACGUCAGCCGCAGCAGACACACACACACACACACACACACACACACACACACACACACAGUUGACCUUUCGACCCCCAUAUGUUCACUGUCCUAGACACAGUGUCUGCUUAUUUAGCAUCAGUGAGACUAUUUUGUAAUCACUCUCAACUUAUAAAAUGAAAUAAUUAUGACCUUUCUAUUUGUUGCACAAUGUGCUGGCCAGCCUGAAAAGUUUUUAUUGGCUUCCUGUGAAACUUUUGACAAAGCCACUUCAUAUCUUUGUGUUAACCCUCCAAUGGGAGAAUUUUAGCUUCUACAAAAUGCCACAUCAACUAACUUCUUUCUUUGCUUGGGAUUGUUAUCUCUGCAUGUUUCCUCUUAAUGGUUCAUUGGGAUUAUUCCAGUAGAAGCAAUACAGUCUGCAUGUGACUGCAGCGUCUGUUCAUUUCUUCCCUCUCAGUCUCACACAGUUCCGUGUGGUCUGCUCCCACUGUAAUCCAUCACUCAGUGCUCCGGCACAGCCCAUGUCAUCCACAGUAAUCACACAACGAGUCAUGCAUGACCCCCCCCGGUUCCCUUGUUACCAGCCGCGACAGCGUAGCUGUAUUAUUUUCUCCUCGUAAAUCUAUCUUUGUGUUUGUGUGUGUCACAUUAAACUUGGUCUUCGAAAAACCUGCUGACGCUGCACUUACCACAGAUUCAGUCUUUCGUACUUUGGCAGGUCGGAUAUGUUUCAAUGAUCUAACUGCAAAAUUGUGACACUUAACCCGACAUGGGUGUUGUGAGGAUCAACGUUCAAAGAUGGGUGUCCAUGUAUUAAUGAGUCGGAACGUCAACAUGAUAUCGUAAUUAAAUCUGUUUGUUAGAAACUGUCUUAAAACCACAGUGGAAACGUCACAAACAGAAAAACCAUUCCACUUAUUAAUAGAAAUGUAUAUGGAUAUUGCUCUUCAUGAACAUUUUUGUUCGUACCGGGACCCUGUGGGAAUUAUGACUCUGAUUUUCCAGUGAUCUGAUUGGUCUGUAGUUGUUGACAGGUUCUGAAUGGCGUCGUAAUCCCGAGAGCAGAGGGCUAAUCGCGACGUUACCUCGCCAACCACGAAUCCUGCGAAUUGCCGCCACUGACAUGUCACUCAGAUAAGUCGACUGUGAAGAGGCGCAGGCGUUAACGUCAGAUCGGGAGCUCAAAGUAGAGGACAGACGUCCCAGCUCCUGCUGGGGGCAUCCAGAGGCGUUCCCAGGCCUGAUGGGAUAUGACGUCCCUCCAGCGACGUCCGGGUCUCCUCCCACUUGGGCGUGCCAGGUAAACCUCCAACGGAAGGCGCCCAGGUGGAGAAGCAGUGGAUGGAUUUCGUUACGUCCCUCCAGCAUUGUUGAUGUUGUUGACCC